CAUUGUAAUUUGCAGAGGAUGCUUCGGGAGCGGCCCCCAUCUAAGUGCCCUGGAACGGGCCGUCAUNGAGGGUGAGAAUCCCGUCUGGGAUGGGGUGCCCGCGCCCGUGUGAAGNUCNUUCGACGAGUCGAGUUGUUUGGGAAUGCAGCUNNAAAUGGGUGGUAAAUUUCAUCUAAAGNUAAAUACUGGCCGGAGACCGAUAGCGCACAAGUAGAGUGAUCGAAAGAUGAAAAGCACUUUGAAAAGAGAGUUAAACAGCACGUGAAAUUGUUGAAAGGGAAGCGCUNGCGACCAGACUCGCUNGCGGGGUUCAGCCGGCCUUCGGGCCGNUGUACUUCCCCGCGGGCGGNCCAGCGUCGGUUUGGGCGGCCGGUCAAAGGCCC
rnacentral:rRNA from 1 species